GACGAACGCUGGCGGCGUGCUUAACACAUGCAAGUCGAACGGAAAGGCCCUGCUUUUGUGGGGUGCUCGAGUGGCGAACGGGUGAGUAACACGUGAGUAACCUGCCCUUGACUUUGGGAUAACUUCAGGAAACUGGGGCUAAUACCGGAUAGGAGCUCCUGCUGCAUGGUGGGGGUUGGAAAGUUUCGGCGGUUGGGGAUGGACUCGCGGCUUAUCAGCUUGUUGGUGGGGUAGUGGCUUACCAAGGCUUUGACGGGUAGCCGGCCUGAGAGGGUGACCGGCCACAAUGGGACUGAGAUACGGCCCAGACUCCAACGGGAGGCAGCGGUGGGGAAUAUUGCACAAUGGGCGGGAGCCUGAUGCAGCAACGCCGCGUGCGGGAUGACGGCCUUCGGGUUGUAAACCGCUGUCGCCUGUGACGAAGCGUGAGUGACGGUAAUGGGUAAAGAAGCACCGGCUAACUACGUG
rnacentral:rRNA from 1 species